rfam:Photorhabdus luminescens subsp. laumondii TTO1 complete genome
UGUUGUCUUCGGACAAUCGCCAAUAUUCCCGCAGUCUGAGAGGAAUGCCUUUGGGUGACUGCUCUCAAUGUCAGAAAGGUCUGAGACUGACGCUUUCGUGUGACCUGUCACAAAGCCAUUGUAGCCUGAGAGGUGGUGCCUGCGGGCGGUAAACCC